rfam:Bacillus thermozeamaize isolate ZCTH02-B2 BIN02_NODE141916562837, whole genome shotgun sequence.
UCUGGUGGUGAUGGCGGAGGGGAAACACCCGUUCCCAUUCCGAACACGGCCGUUAAGCCCUCCAGCGCCGAUGGUACUUGGACCGGGAGGUCCUGGGAGAGUAGGACGCUGCCAGGC